rnacentral:rRNA from 1 species
UACGUAGGGGGCAAGCGUUGUCCGGAAUUAUUGGGCGUAAAGAGUGUGUAGGCGGCCUAAUAAGUCUGCUGUGAAAGUCUAGGGCUUAACCCUAGAAAGCCAGUAGAUACUGUUAGGCUUGAGUCCGGAAGAGGCGAGUGGAAUUCCUGGUGUAGCGGUGAAAUGCGCAGAUAUCAGGAAGAACACCAAGAGCGAAGGCAGCUCGCUGGGACGGUACUGACGCUGAGACACGAAAGCGUGGGGAGCGAACAGG